ensembl:lncRNA
GAGAGACUUAACUUUUAUCUGUUAGGUGACAUGUGACCAGGUGAAACUAAUUAUAUAAGUAGCAUGUUUAGGUUGCUGGUGACUAUAGUAUUUGAGCACAGUGUAGACUUUAUGUUAGUAUUGGGGUCUCCUUUUGUUAAUCCUCUUUUAAGAUAUGUUAUGGGCAAUGAAGAGGCUCCAUCUAAUUUUCAUUGCUUUGGUUCUUUGGAGAGAUACAAAUGGAUUUGGAGUGUGGAAUAGAACCUCUGUUGUUGACUUGCAAGCUGGACAUUUUAAUGCAACAUGGAACCAAAAUUUUCACUUGGCUACACCUGUUCAAUCUUUGGAGCUACUGUCCAGGAAAGGUGCAAAUGGAGAUGAAGGCGGAAGAAAAUUCUAGUAGUUUCAGUUAUACUUUGGCAGUCCAAACUGCUCCCCAGGAUUCUAGUUUUGUUCAGUCUUCUGGUGGUGCUGCUCAAGGUAAACCUGUACUAAAUGCUCAAGGUCAAGCAACUCCCAUGGUUCAACCGCAGGACAACUUGAUGACUCAGUCCUCAAGGCUCUAUUGGUUUGAAUCUCUCAAGCCUGAAAACUGUGGCACUUUGCUCUCUCAAUCUUGGCCUCAAAAAGGUCAGAAUAACGGUGGAUUCCAAAGACCAUCCAGGUUCCAGUUUGGAGGCACUGCAAACCAGACAUCUGGAUCCCAGACCCAGUCGUCAUACCAGCCUAGCACCACAACACAGGUUCAGACAGGCGAGUCUAUUGCCCAGCCUGAGUCGUUCGGAGCUUCAGCUUCAUAUCCAAGUCAAACCUCUGGCAUGUACUCUGUUGUACAGGGUCCUCUGAUUGCAUCCUCUUCCCAAAUGCCUGGGUUCCACAUCCAGUCAUCAUACCAGCCUGGCACCACAACACAGGUUCAGACAGGCCAGUCUGCUUCUACAUCUCGGGCUCAGUCCUCUGGUGCAUCAACAUUGUAUCCAGGGAUUAGGAGGAAUGUGACUUCUCUGGGUCAUGGCUUUCCAUACUCAACCCAGUCUGUGGUGACCGCAAACCAGACAUCUGGAUCCCAGACCCAGUCAUCAUACCAGCCUAGCACUACAACACUGCUUCAGACAGGCCAGCCUGUUCUUCCUCAGAGUCAGCCUUCGGGAGCUUCUGCUCCAUAUCCAAGUCAAACCUCUGGAGUGUACAAUAUUGCACAGCGUCCAUUGACUGCAACCCUUUCCGAAAUACCUGGGUUCCACAUCCAGUCAUCAUACCAGCCUGGCACUACAACACUGCUUCAGACAGGCCAGUCUGCGUCUACAUCUCAGGCUCAGUCCUCUGGAGCAUCAACGUUGUAUCAAGGGAUUAGCUCUGGCAGGUAUCUGACGUCACUGGGUCAUAUAAUUCCUUCCUCCUCCCAGUCUGUGGUCACUACAAACCAGACAUCUGGAUCCCAGACCCAGUCAUCAUACCAGCCUGGCACCACAACACUGCUUCAGACAGCCCAGUCUGCUCCUACAUCUCAGGCUCAGUCCUCUGGUGCAUCAACAUUGUAUCAAGGAAUUAGGAGGAAUGUGACUUCUCUGGGUCAUGGCUUUCCAUACUCAACCCAGUCUGUGGUGACUGCAAACCAGACAUCUGGAGCCCAGACCCAGUCAUCAUACCAGCCUGGCACCACAACACUGCUUCAGACAGGCCAGUCUGCUUCUACAUCUCAGGCUCUUGGCAGCCAUGGAGCUGCACCUUCAGGACAUGCUAAAUGGUACACCAUUGUACAAGGUCAGACAAUUCCAUCUUCUCAAGCCUCUGGAUCCCAGACCCAGUCAUCAUACCAGCCUAGCACUACAACACUCCUUCAGACAGGCCAGCCUGUUCUUCCUCAGAGUCAGCCUUCGGGAGCUUCUGCUUCAUAUCCAAGUCAAACCUCUGGCGUGUACAAUAUUGCACAGCGUCCAUUGACUGCAACCCUUUCCGAAAUACCUGGGUUCCACAUCCAGUCAUCAUACCAGCCUGGCACUACAACACUGCUUCAGACAGGCCAGUCUGCGUCUACAUCUCAGGCUCAGUCCUCUGGCGCAUCAACAUUGUAUCAAGGAAUUAGGAGGAAUGUGACUUCUCUGGGUCAUGGCUUUCCAUACUCAACCCAGUCUGUGGUGACUGCAAACCAGACAUCUGGAUCCCAGACCCAGUCAUCAUACCAGCCUGGCACCACAACACUGCUUCAGACAGGCCAGUCUGCUUCUACAUCUCAGGCUCUUGGCAGCCAUGGAGCUGCACCUUCAGGACAUGCUAAAUGGUACACCAUUGUACAAGGUCAGACAAUUCCAUCUUCUCAAGCCUCUGGAUCCCAGACCCCGUCAUCAUACCAGCCUAGCACUACAACACUGCUUCAGACAGGCCUGUCUGCUUCUACAUCUCAGGCUCAGUCCUCUGGUGCCUCAACAUUCUAUCAAGGGAUUAGCUCUGGCAGGUAUCUGACUUCACUGGGUCAGAGCAUUCCAUCCUCCUCCCACUCUGUGGUCACUACAAACAAAAUCUCUGGAUUGCAGGACCAGUCAUUUCAGCCUGACACCACAACAAAUGCUUUGGUGGGUCAGUCUGCUUCUACAUCUUUGGCUCACGGCAACAUUCAGGCUCCAAAUUGGCAUACGAUAACUCCUCCUAGAUUCCAUAAUUUGCUACGGAACUUGUCGGUUUCUCAAUCUCUGAGCUCUGAUCCCCAAACAAGAACAAUCAACAAUAUUUUGCCGUUUCUGAACCAAAGUGCUGGGACUUCUGCCAUGUCUCAGAAUAAUGUACAGACCCCAGCAUUUCACACAUCUACACACUUCUCACCUGUCCCACAAACUGUUGCCACUCCCCCAGUCUCUCUACCCAAGCCUUGCCGACAGACACAAUGCUCAAUGGUGGAGAGUGCAAUUGCCUCUAUAGCAUCCAGCCAAACCUCUCCUCGUGUUGCCACAUCAUCUCAAGGCACAGGCUCUUUUGCUGCUGUACCCAUUCCAGGUACCUCACAGAAUUUUGCAGGCAUUGAUUUCCAGGGUACAUUGCCAGUACAUGACCAGUACAGCUCGGUGUGUAACUUUCCAUUUGGUUUCUGCAAUUCUCCUCAAGGAGCUGCAAACAACAAAUUUGUUCGAAGCCAGAGUGUACAGACACACAACCUGUGAACCAAGAAUUCAUGGGACACUUUCUGGAAUCAGUGCCUCAUCAGCAUUCUGUGUUCCACAAAGCUUUUCCAAUACACCUGAAAUUGUGAGCUCAGCCACUUACAGCUCCCCCCCAUUUCCCAACACCAGGCCCUCCUGACAAUCUCAACUGUAAGAUUAACUACUGAGUGCUUUGAUCGCUGACUGAAUAUGCUCAUUUGUGG